UACGUAGGGUGCGAGCGUUAAUCGGAAUUACUGGGCGUAAAGCGUGCGCAGGCGGUUUUGUAAGCCAGAUGUGAAAGCCCCGGGCUCAACCUGGGAAUGGCAUUUGGGACUGCAAGGCUGCAGUGUGGCAGAGGAGACUGGAAUUCCUGGUGUAGCAGUGAAAUGCGUAGAUAUCAGGAGAAAUACCGAUGGCGAAGGCAGGUCUCUGGGCUAACACUGACGCUCAUGCACGAAAGCGUGGGGAGCAAACAGG
rnacentral:rRNA from 1 species